GGGAGCCCCAGCUGGGGCUAGAGGAGCUGCUGCGGGCUCGCUGCCAACUGCUGCAGGAUCAGGAGGAGUUUCAGGAGGAGCUGGAGUUCUGCGAGCGGCUGCUACGAAUAUGCUUCCAGACCCCACCCGAGGAGAGCAGCAUGGAUCGGUGACAUCCCCUGCCCUCCCCCAGCUCAGCAGGGGAGCCCCCUACCCUCCCAGCAUGCAGCCCCCAGCUCCUGCCCCUUCAUGGCAGCAUGAGACACCAGAACCUGCCAAGGGGCCAGGCUGGAGCAGAGCUCUCUGCUGGGAUGGGUGUGGCUUAUUACCCUAAUGAGGGGGUGGCACCUGGCACAUGGUCCCCUCCACACAAAUCUACUGCUUCCCAACCCACGCCCUCACAGUCCUUCCCCUCCUCCACUAGCCCUAGCCCUCAGGCAGACCACCCACUUUUUAUCCAGAUCCCAGCAGCCCCUUUCUUCCUUCUUUCCCCCUCCCAUCCCUGAUGCUGAGUCAGGUAUCAUUCUGCUAGCAAGAUCCAGCUGCAUGUUGUUAACCUCUGACUCAUACUGGGACUGGCUGAGGAAGGGGAGCUUUCCACUUCAGGGGGCAUCAUAUUUAAUCUGCCUCCAGGCCAGCUUGGAGUAGGGCAGGAAGCUUUACCUUUCACUGGGGGAACCAGCCCCUCUCUGACACCACCUUUUAAGUCUUGAAGUCAUCCCACCUUGAAGGAAGAUGAUGUAUGAGUUCAGAGAACUGGGCAAAGCAGCUCUAUUCCUUGCCAUGCUAUCCUUGUGGGGGUGAGGAAGGGAGGCAGCCAUAGUGAUGGGAGGGGUCCCACCUUUCAAGUCCUGGGGAUUCCCCAGCAGCCCUCUUCCCCCUCUACCUGUUCAUCUGUUCUCUGCUUGUUGCCAGUGGUUUUCUAAUAAAGUUUCUGGUUUCGGUGA